rnacentral:rRNA from 1 species
UACGGGGGGAGCAAGCGUUGUUCGGAUUUACUGGGCGUAAAGGGCGCGUAGGCGGCCACGACAAGUCACUUGUGAAAUCUCCGGGCUUAACUCGGAAAGGUCAAGUGAUACUGUCGGGCUAGAGUGCAGAAGGGGCAACUGGAAUUCUCGGUGUAGCGGUGAAAUGCGUAGAUAUCGAGAGGAACACCUGCGGCGAAGGCGGGUUGCUGGGCUGACACUGACGCUGAAGCGCGAAAGCCAGGGGAGCGAACGGG